rnacentral:rRNA from 1 species
UGGCGACCGGCGCACGGGUGAGUAACACGUAUCCAACCUGCCGAUGGCUCGGGGAUAGCCUUUCGAAAGAAAGAUUAAUACCCGAUGGCAUAGUUCUUCCGCAUGGUAGAACUAUUAAAGAAUUUCGGUCAUCGAUGGGGAUGCGUUCCAUUAGGUUGUUGGCGGGGUAACGGCCCACCAAGCCUUCGAUGGAUAGGGGUUCUGAGAGGAAGGUCCCCCACAUUGGAACUGAGACACGGUCCAA